rnacentral:rRNA from 1 species
UACGUAGGUGACCAGCGUUGUCCGGAUUUACUGGGCGUAAAGAGCGCGCAGGCGGUCGUUCAAGUCGAGUGUGAAAGCCCCCGGCUCAACUGGGGAGGGUCAUUCGAUACUGAUCGACUUGAAGGCAGGAGAGGGUAGUGGAAUUCCCGGUGUAGUGGUGAAAUGCGUAGAUAUCGUGGAGGAACACCGUGGCGAAGGCGCAUCUGGACCGAAACUGACACUGAGGCGCGACAGCGUGGG